CAUAUUAAUUUCAGCCCUCUUA
rnacentral:piRNA from 1 species